UACAGAGGUCUCGAGCGUUUGUUCGGAUUCAUUGGGCGUAAAGGGUGCGUAGGUGGCUAGGUAAGUCGGAUGUGAAAUCCCGGGGCUCAACCCCGGAACUGCAUUCGAUACUGCCUGGCUAGAGUACUGGAGAGGAGAUUGGAAUUUACGGUGUAGCAGUGAAAUGCGUAGAUAUCGCAAGGAAGACCAGUGGCGAAGGCGGAUCUCUGGACAGUUACUGACACUGAGGCACGAAGGCCAGGGGAGCAAACGGG
rnacentral:rRNA from 1 species